rnacentral:pre_miRNA from 1 species
AGAAAGAAGGGUAGUGACUUGUCUGGAAAAGAAGGGGAAAGCCUUCUUUCCCCUUCUGGUCCAGACAAGUCACUACCUUCUUUCC